CUUAACCAAACAAGUCCUAUCAACUUUUCCUUGUCAGGUCCAAUUAGUUUCUCGGGUUGGCUCGAAAUCGAAGCCCAAUUCUCUCUUCUCUCCCUCCUCCGCUGCUGCAAAACCUAGAUCGUUCUCAGGCCGUCGGAACUCGGUCUCCGAGCUUCUUAUUCGCACGGAGAUCGCGUCUUCGCUACCGGCAUUUACUUUUUGAACCAAGAUGGCAACACUUGAAGAGAACAAUGCUCUGGUAAUGGUUA
rnacentral:misc_RNA from 1 species